rnacentral:rRNA from 1 species
GUGAGGAAUUUUGCGCAAUGGGGGCAACCCUGACGCAGCGACGCCGCGUGGAGGACGAAGUCUUUCGGGAUGUAAACUCCUGUCAGUGGGGACGAUAAUGACGGUACCCACAGAGGAAGCACCGGCUAACUCCGUGCCAGCAGCCGCGGUAAGACGGAGGGUGCAAGCGUUGUUCGGAAUUACUGGGCGUAAAGCGUAUGUAGGCGGCAAGUUAAGUUCAAUGUUAAAGCCCACGGCUCAACCGAGGAGAUGCAUUGAAUACUGGCUAGCUAGAGGGUGUUAGAGGAAGACGGAAUUCCCAGUGUAGCGAUGAAAUGCGUAGAUAUUGGGAGGAACAUCGGUAGCGAAAGCGGUCUUCUGGGACAUACCUGACGCUGAGGUACGAAAGCGUGGGGAGCAAACAGGAUUAGAAACCCUGGUAGUCC